CUCUGUGCACGUUAGCAAAUGCUACUUCCGGUUAUGAAAGCUAAGUUGAUGAGACAACUUCCGCCUGCUUGACGCGCUGCCAGAGCAGACGGCUGAAAAAUGGAUGGUGCAAGCAGUGAGCUGAAUUUCUCCCGAUGUUUAGGUCAUCUGCCAAACAUGUCUAUCGAUGAUGUUCACAGACUCGUGGACAUGUUUUCUCCUGCUCCCCAGAGCAAGCGCGAGAAAGGAUUUAAAUUCUACAUUUCACAAUAUCUCUACAACUUAGAAGGUGGUUCUGAAAGACUCAACGUCUGUGGAACUACUACACUUCAGCUGCUCCUGUAAGGCUGGAAAAGCCUUAUGCAACCACUGUGUUGCUUUGCUUUUUCAGUGUGCCCAUUACUCCCAGCUGAAGCUCCAAGUGGUGCCCCCGAUGAUGAGCUGCACCGAGGGAGAACAACAAUGGCAUAAGCCCAGAGUACUGGGAAUAAAGCCUGGGCCAGUUGAUAAGAUGACUGUGUUAUCUGCCAAACCAAAGAGGAGAAAGACCACUGAGGGAGUCCGGAGCACACUUUACAAAGGUGUUCAUGGGGACCUACCUGAUCUCUCUGUUCUCCGUCUAAGUGAAGCCUACAAGGAUUUCUCUCCGACCGACAUUACAUUAAUAAACAUUUCAAUUGCAAUAUGUGCAUGUUAUCACACAAUAAUAUAAAAUAACACAAUUAAAAACUCGAAUGAACAAUCCUUGUUUGCUGUG